UCCGAUGUGGUGUAACGGCUAACAUUGCCGCCUUUCAUCGUGGGCGAAGCUGCGAAGCGGGUGUUCCUCACUCGCAGCUUCGCGUGGGAGUCUAAUACGCGGCAGCUCGGGGUUCGAUUCCCCGCUUCGGAA